rnacentral:rRNA from 1 species
AACCCAUGCAUGUUUUUGACAUUUGAAAAAUGGACUGCUCAGUAAUACUCACUUUAUUUUAUGUAAAUUUUUAAUUAACUACGUUAAAGUGUAGAUAAGAUGUUUACAGUAAGAGUGAGACCUAUCAGCUAGUUGUUAAGGUAAUGGCUUAACAAGGCUGUGACGGGUAACGGUAUUACUUUGUAAUAUUCCGGAGAAGGAGCCUGAGAGACGGCUACUAAGUCUAAGGAUUGCAGCAGGGGCGAAACUUGACCUAUGGAUUUUAUCUGAGGCAGUUAUGGGAAGUAAUAUUAUAUUGUUUCAUAUUUUAAAAGUAUAUGAGGUGAUUAAUUGGAGGGCAAAUCAAGUGCCAGCAGCCGCGGUAAUACUUGUUCCAAGAGUGUGUAUGAUGAUUGAUGCAGUUAAAAAGUCCGUAGUUUAUUUUUUUAUGAAGCAA